rnacentral:rRNA from 1 species
UUACGGGUAGGCUAGCCAGUGGGGAAUAUUGCACAAUGGAGGGAACUCCUGAUGCAGCAACGCCGCGUGGAGGAUGACACAUUUCGGUGCGUAAACUCCUUUUAUAUAGGAAGAUAAUGACGGUACUAUAUGCAUAAGGCACCGGCUACUACCGUGCACGCGCACGCAGU